AGGCCCCGAGGCGGAUCGGGUAUUGAGUCCAUGGAGCGAGCUGAGAGCUAGAGUACAGAACCUGCUAAGGCCAUCAAACCUAUCGAUCGGAAGUCAGUCCAUCAGAUUUGCUCUGGGCCGGUGGUACUGAGUCUAAGCACUGCGGUGAAGGAGUUAGUAGAAAACAGUCUGGAUGCUGGUGCCACCAAUAUUGCGAUGUCACCAUUUCUACCUGCCACGCAUCGGCGAAGGUUGGGACUCGACUGGUGUUUGAUCACGAUGGGAAAAUCAUCCAGAAAACCCCCUACCCCCACCCCAGAGGGACCACAGUCAGCGUGAAGCAGUUAUUUUCUACACUACCUGUGCACCAUAAGGAAUUUCAAAGGAAUAUUAAGAAGACGUGCCUGUUUCCCCUUCGCCUUCUGCCGUGAUUGUCAGUUUCCUGAGGCCUCCCCAGCCAUGCUUCCUGUACAGCCUGCAGAACUGUACCAUAAAAGUGACCUUCAAAGAUGAGGCUGAAGCAAUUUAUAGUCUCACCAGGUGUAUGAGAGUACUUACUUCUUCACUAAUUUUUUAUCUAUAUUUAAGAGCUGUGUGGAUUUCAUUAAAGGAUUUGUUUCUUUUCCUUAUUUUUCUAUUUUCUUAUUUUCUAUUGGCUUAUAGGUCUUUAUUUAAUGAUUGGCAGUAGUAUUUUCAGUAUGUUUAGGACAUUUUAGUACCAACUUUAAACAUUUUUUAAAAGUGUACCAACUUUAUUCACUUUAUUAACUUUAAUUUCUUUUAAAAUUGUAUUUAAAAAGUCUUUUUUUUUUUCAGAAUUAUUCAAUCUCAAAACACACCAUUAUGUAAGUGGGAAAAAUUCAAGGAAAGAAUAGGAGGCUGGAUAAAUAUUUUAUAAAGUCUAAAGGCAAAGAACAAGGUGAUAUGGUUUGGCUGGGUCCCCACCCAAAUCUCAUCUUGAAUUCCCACAUGUUGUGGGGGGACCUGGUAGGAGGUAACUGAAUCAUGGGGCAAGUGUUUCCCAUGCUGUUCUCAUGAUAGUGAAUAAGUCUCACGAGAGCUGAUGGCUUCAAAAAGUGGGGUUCCCCUGCACAAGUUCUCUCAUUUUUUUUGCCUGCCACCAUCCAUGUAAGAUGUGACUUGCUCCUCCUUGCCUUCCAUCAUGAUUGCGAGGCUUCUCCAGCCAUGUGGAACUGUAAGUCCCAUUAAACCUCUUUGUUUUGUGAA
ensembl:lncRNA PMS2P4 PMS1 homolog 2, mismatch repair system component pseudogene 4